GAUGAACGCUGGCGGCGUGCCUAAUACAUGCAAGUCGAGCGGACAGAUAAGGAGCUGGCUGCUGUGACGUUGGCGACGGGCGGGUGAGUCACACGAGGGUAACCUACCUUUAAGAAUGGCAUAACUACGGGAAACCGGGUCUAACACCGGAUAAGAGUUUGAACCGGAGGGUUCUAAAGACAUAGAUGGUUUUGCUAUCACUUAUUGAGGGAACCGCGUCGUAUUAGCUAGUUGGUAAGGUAACGGCUUACCAAGGCAACGAUCCGUAGCCGACCUGAGAGGGUGAUCGGCCACACUGGAACUGAGACACGGUCCAGACUCCUACGGGAGGCAGCAGUAGGGAAUGUUACGCAAUGGGCGAAACCCUGACCUAGCAACGCCGCGUGAGUGAAGAAGGCCUUCGGAUCGUAAAACGCUGUUAUUCGGGAAGAAAUACUCUGUGAUUAUCCGUGCGCGUCUUGACGGUACCUAAUCAGUAAGCACCGGCUAACUACGUG
rnacentral:rRNA from 1 species